rnacentral:rRNA from 1 species
UACAGAGGUCCCAAGCGUUGUUCGGAGUUACUGGGCGUAAAGGGUGUGUAGGCGGUUGUUUAAGUUUGGUGUGAAAUCUCCCGGCUCAACUGGGAGGGUGCGCCGAAUACUGAAUGACUUGGAGUGCGGGAGAGGUGAGUGGAAUUCCCGGUGUAGCGGUGAAAUGUGUAGAGAUCGGGAGGAACACCGGUGGCGAAGGCGGGUCUCUGGGCAUCUCCUGACGCUGAGGCGCGAAAGCGUGGGGAGCAAACGGG